rnacentral:rRNA from 1 species
GAUGAACGCUAGCGGUGCGCCUAACACAUGCAAGUCGAGCGAUAUAGCGGCGAACGGGUGAGGAACACGUUGGAACCUGCCCCGGACUCAGGGAUAGCCCGCCGAAAGGUGGAUUAAUACCGGAUAGUCCCCGACCUAGUCGGGGUAAAGCUUUUGCGGUCCGGGAGGGGCCUGCGCAGUAUCAGUUUGUUGGUAGGGUAAUGGCCUACCAAGACUACGACGCUUAACUGGUCUGAGAGGAUGAUCAGUCACAAUGGAACUGAGACACGGUCCAUACUUCUACGGAAGGCAGCAGUGAGGAAUCUUCCGCAAUGGGCGAAAGCCUGACGGAGCGACACCGCGUGGAGGACGACGGCCUUUUGGUUGUAAACUCCUUUUCUGGGGGAAUAAAUGAUGAAGGUACCCCAGGAAUAAGCACCGGCUAACUACG